rnacentral:rRNA from 1 species
GGGGGGGGGGGGUGCUAUACAUGCAGUCGAGCGGAGUUUAUCCUUCGGGAUAAGCUUAGCGGCGGACGGGUGAGUAACACGUAGGCAACCUGCCCCUUAGCCUGGGAUAACUACCGGAAACGGUAGCUAAUACCGGAUAAUCCCUUUCCUCGCCUGAGGGAAGGAUAAAAGGCGGAGCAAUCUGCUGAUAAGGGAUGGGCCUGCGGCGCAUUAGCUAGUUGGUGAGGUAACGGCUCACCAAGGCGACGAUGCGUAGCCGACCUGAGAGGUUGACCGGCUAUACUGGGACUGAGACACGGCCCAGACUCAUACGGGAGGCAGCAGUAGGGAAUCUUCCGCAAUGGGCGAAAGCCUGACGGAGCAACGCCGCGUGAGUGAUGAAGGUUUUCGGAUCGUAAAGCUCUGUUGCCAGGGAAGAACGUCCGGUAGAGUAACUGCUACCGGAGUGACGGUACCUGAGAAGAAAGCCCCGGCUAACUACGUGCCAGCAGCCGCGGUAAUACGUAGGGGGCAAGCGUUGUCCGGAAUUAUUGGGCGUAAAGCGCGCGCAGGCGGCUAUUUAAGUCUGGUGUUUAAACCUUGGGCUCAACCUGAGGUCGCACUGGAAACUGGGUGGCUUGAGUACAGAAGAGGAAAGUGGAAUUCCACGUGUAGCGGUGAAAUGCGUAGAGAUGUGGAGGAACACCAGUGGCCGAAGGCAACUUUUCUGGGCUGUAACUGACGCUAGAGGCGCGAAAAGCGUGGGGGAGCAAAACAGGGAUUAGAAUACCCCUGGGUAGUCCCACCGCCGUAACACCAAUGAAGUGCUAAGGUGUUUAGGGGGUUUUCGAAUACCCCUUUGGGUGCCCGAAAGUUUAACCACAGGAAAGGCACUUCCGCCCUGGGGGAAAUACCGGGUCUCCAAAAACUUGAAAACCUCAAAAGGAAAUUUGC